CUGUGUCUUAUGGAACCUUAUGAGUGUCUUUACGCUGUAACCGAUAUCCUUUGGCAUGGACAGAAGCCGGAUCUGCGCCACUUACAAGUUUUUGGAUGUACUGCCUUUGCCCAUAUUGAAAAAGGCCAUCGGGGUAAGAUUGACCCCAAGAGUGAAAAAUGUGUUUUCCUUGGUUUUCUCCUACAGCCGAAGGAGAUCGGUUACAGCGAAAAGACACUAAUAAGAUUAUUGAGAGCAG